rnacentral:rRNA from 1 species
GCAGUCGAGGGGCAGCACGAUGUAGCAAUACAUUGGUGGCGACCGGCGCACGGGUGAGUAACGCGUAUGCAACCUACCUAUCAGAGGGGAAUAACCCGGCGAAAGUCGGACUAAUACCGCAUAAAACAGGGGUUCCACAUGGAAAUAUUUGUUAAAGAAUUAUCGCUGAUAGAUGGGCAUGCGUUCCAUUAGAUAGUUGGUGAGGUAACGGCUCACCAAGUCCACGAUGGAUAGGGGUUCUGAGAGGAAGGUCCCCCACACUGGUACUGAGACACGGACCAGACUCCUACGGGAGGCAGCAGUGAGGAAUAUUGGUCAAUGGGCGAGAGCCUGAACCAGCCAAGUCGCGUGAAGGAUGAAGGAUCUAUGGUUUGUAAACUUCUUUUAUAUGGGAAUAAAGUGAGGAACGUGUUCCUUUUUGUAUGUACCAUAUGAAUAAGCAUCGGCUAACUCCGUGCCAGCAGCCGCGGUAAUACGGAGGAUGCGAGCGUUAUCCGGAUUUAUUGGGUUUAAAGGGUGCGUAGGUGGUUAAUUAAGUCAGCGGUGAAAGUUUGUGGCUCAACCAUAAAAUUGCCGUUGAAACUGGUUGACUUGAGUAUAUUUGAGGUAGGCGGAAUGCGUGGUGUAGCGGUGAAAUGCGUAGAUAUCACGCAGAACUCCGAUUGCGAAGGCAGCUUACUAAACUAUAACUGACACUGAAGCACGAAAGCGUGGGGAUCAAACAGGAUUAGAUACCCUGGUAGUCCACGCAGUAAACGAUGAUUACUAGCUGUUUGCGAUACACAGUAAGCGGCACAGCGAAAGCGUUAAGUAAUCCACCUGGGGAGUACGCCGGCAACGGUGAA